CUUCAGGAGAGGGUACCUUCAGCUGGCAAAGACAGAAUGCUAGCCAGUCAGAAAGGUGACUUUUUUUGGACAAAUGAGGAAACUUAAUGAAUUCCCUACUCCACAGACGGCUGUGGUAUACGUUAGAGCACCUGCUGCAACUCACUUCAUAUCACAUUGCGGUUAUGAAAAAUAGUUUGCUAUUUUGGAACCCCCUGGCAGCCAGAGUGAAUCACUGAGGGCCCAAAGCUCAUUUAUCUUUUGUCAGAACUGAAGCCAAAUGAACGCCAUCUUGCCCAGCAGCUGAAGAAAGGGGGAAAAAACAUUCUGCAAGUAAAAAUAACCAGAGGAGCAUGCAAGAGCUGCGAAGACGAGUGACUUAUGGCAGUGUUUCAGACUAAAACUCCUCAUCCGUUCUGAUACCAAGCUAAAGACAACAGUGAGAUAUUCUGAUGGCUGCACGUCCUGGCUGUCCCUCCCCGUGGACAACGACCCAGCGCAGUUACAGCGUGGCUGGGGCCUUGCUCUGGCAGGGAAGCAGCUGAGGAGCCCAGCACAGCACAGAGCCUAUCAGUCCUCUCUGCAUGGACAUGCCAGGAAGAAGUGAUGGAGUGCUUUAUGAGCAGUGAACACCAAGAAUGAUCAGAAGCAUUGGAAAAUCCUCUCCACAUACUGAGUUGAAAGAGUAGAGAUUUUUAAUUUGCAGACAACCGAAAUGCAAAGAGAUGUGACUAUUUUGACAAGAGUAAACGGAAGUAUGAUAUGAAGACUUAUUGUUAGAAAAAGACUUAUUCAAAAUGGUUAAAUGAGAAUAUUUUUCAGUUUACAAUUAGCCUGUACAGUUUAUUUCUAGAGGGUGACAAACAGCCAGGAAUUUAGCAAAAUGCAAGCAGGCAGAGAUACAAUACUGGCACACACACACACACACAAAAUCUGAACUAAGAUAUUCUCAGACCUGGCCUAAACCAGCAUGCUUCAGGGACAGCCUCUGGCAAUGGGCAAGUAGGUAGCAGCUUCACUAAUGGAGAGCUACACACAUUCCUAAAGCAGCCUGCGUGUUACUGCUACAGACAGAUUUUGUACUCUUCCAGUGUCAGCGGUUUCAUGGACUACAAGCUCUGUUUCUGCCUUCACCAUGGGUUUCUCUCAUCACUUGCCUGCCUCUCAAGUUUCCUGUUAGCAAAUCAAAAAUAAUACUUUUAAGAAGUAAGCUGUAAGAAUAGUGACUGCCACUU
rnacentral:lncRNA from 1 species